UACGGAGGGGGCUAGCGUUGUUCGGAAUUACUGGGCGUAAAGCGCGCGUAGGCGGACCUGCAAGUCGGGGGUGAAAGCCCGAGGCUCAACUGGGGAACUGCGCGGGAAACUGUCGGACUUGAGUUCGGGAGAGGGAAGCGGAAUUCCGGGUGUAGCGGUGAAAUGCGUAGAUAUCCGGAGGAACACCGGUGGCGAAGGCGGCUUCCUGGACCGACACUGACGCUGAGGCGCGAAAGCUAGGGGAGCAAACGGG
rnacentral:rRNA from 1 species